UAAUACUGUAUAAUCCCUGCGGGGGAAAGAUUUAUCGCUAUUAGAUGAGCCUGCGUUAGAUUAGCUAGUUGGUGGGGUAAUGGCUUACCAAGGCGAUGAUCUAUAGCUGGUCUGAGAGGACGAUCAGCCACACUGGAACUGAGAUACGGUCCAGACUCCUACGGGAGGCAGCAGUGGGGAAUAUUGGACAAUGGGCGAAAGCCUGAUCCAGCUAUGCCGCGUGAGUGAAAAAGGCCUUCGGGUUGUAAAGCUCUUUUAAUAGGGAAGAUAAUGACGGUACCUAUAAAAAGGGC
rnacentral:rRNA from 1 species